rnacentral:rRNA from 1 species
UACGUAGGGGGCGAGCGUUGUCCGGAAUGAUUGGGCGUAAAGGGCGCGCAGGCGGCCUGUCAAGUCAGUAGUGGAAUACCAUUUUUCAAGGAUGGAAGUGCUAUAGAAACUGAUGGGCUUGAGUGCAGGAGAGGUUAUCGGAAUUCCCGGUGUAGCGGUGAAAUGCGUAGAGAUCGGGAGGAACACCAGUGGCGAAGGCGGGUAACUGGACUGCAACUGACGCUGAGGCGCGAAAGUGUGGGGAGCAAACAGGAUUAGAUACCCU